UAAAUUCUAUAGAUAGUGAUGUACCUUUUAAAAUUCUCUUUAAGAUCAGAGAACACACAUAUUACACACCCUGGAGCUGAGGCACAGAAGCUGAAAGACUCAUUCAGUGCUGCAUAAGAAAUGUUUGACUGCAGAUCAAGAUCCAUUGUUGAAGUGACAGAAGCUCUACAUGAGGGAGGAUUGAUUUAUCAAACUGAUCAUCUGAGAGCAGUACCCUCUUUACCAUAGUUUCUCCAGAGGAAAUGUUGUGCAUCCCCACUUGCAGCAUGGUUUCAAGCUUGGUAUGAAGUGACAACCUGCAUCAACAGAAAUUUGCAACCUGAAGACCCUUUUGUGUGAUCCUACUGUUGGUGUUUCCUUUGUAAGUUUACUGUACUAACUUUGCUGGUUUAUUUUCAUCCCCACUCUGUCCCUCUGAGACAUGUAGGAGCUGAAGUGGUGAGAUCUGGUGUUCUUUGGACAAACAAGGGGAACCCUGCUAGGUAUAGGUGUAUGUCCUGAUACAAAGGUUGAAAUGAGUCUUCUGUCUGGUCAUGGCUUUUCCAUAC
rnacentral:lncRNA from 1 species